rnacentral:rRNA from 1 species
GUAAUCUUUGGAAACAUCGUCGUGCUGGGGAUAGAUCAUUGCAAUUCUUGAUCUUGAACGAGGAAUUCCUAGUAAGCGCGAGUCAUCAGCUCGCGUUGAUUACGUCCCUGCCC